rnacentral:rRNA from 1 species
AAUGAACGCUGGCGGCGUGCUUAACACAUGCAAGUCGCACGAGAACUCUUUAGCUUGCUAAAGAUAGUAAAGUGGCGCACGGGUGAGUAACACGUGGGUAAUCUACCUCUGAAUCGGGGAUAACAUUGUGAAAGCGAUGCUAAUACCGGAUAAUAUCUUUUAAGCUUCGGCUUAUCAGAUCAAAGGUGGCCUCUACAUGUAAGCUACUGUUUGGAGAUGGGCCCGCGCACCAUUAGCUUGUUGGUGGGGUAAUGGCCCACCAAGGCAUCGAUGGUUAGCUGGUCUGAGAGGAUGAUCAGCCACACUGGAACUGACACACGGUCCAGACUCCUACGGGAGGCAGCAGUGAGGAAUUUUGCGCAAUGGGGGAAACCCUGACGCAGCAACGCCGCGUGAGUGAUGAAGGCCUUCGGGUCGUAAAGCUCUGUCAAGUGGGAAGAACCUGCUUUAUGCUAAUACCAUAUUGCACUGACGGUACCACUGAAGGAAGCACCGGCUAACUCCGUGCCAGCAGCCGCGGUAAUACGGAGGGUGUAAGCGUUAUUCGGAAUUAUUGGGCGUAAAGAGCGCGUAGGCGGUUUUUUAAGUCAGAUGUGAAAGCCCGAGGCUUAACCUCGGAAGUGCAUUUGAAACUAAGAGACUUGAGUAUGGGAGAGGGAAGUGGAAUUCCUGGUGUAGAGGUGAAAUUCGUAGAUAUCAGGAGGAACACCGGUGGCGAAGGCGACUUCCUGGACCAAUACUGACGCUGAGGCGCGAAGGCGUGGGGAGCAAACAGGAUUAGAUACCCUGGUAGUCCACGCAGUAAACGGUGAACACUAGGUGUAGCGGGUAUUGACCCCUGCUGUGCCGAAGCUAACGCAUUAAGUGUUCCGCCUGGGGAGUACGACCGCAAGGUUAAAACUCAAAGGAAUUGACGG